AUGCAAGCUAGUUGGUAAAGGGUAAUACAAUUGAGAUCCAUUUAGGAAGUCUCUGCACCAAUACAGCUUGACUCCUUAAUCGCUUUGCUAUGGAAACAACAAGUUUAGGUAUCUUUCUAAUGUCCUUUGUAGAUAAAAUGCCAAAGACCUUUGGAUAUCCAGAGAAUGCAUCCUUCUCUCUACCUCCAAGGCAUGCAGUUUAGAGAAAAAAAAAUACUGACCAACAAGCUCCCCAAGGAGAGGACAAUCUAGGAACAUGCAGAGGUCAUAACCUUGCAUGCCUCUAUGGAACGGACUGCAAUAUCACAAGUUAUAAUAAACAAACACAAGGCAAGAUAGAAUAGCAGACCUAUAUGGCUCAGGUGACAAAGAAAUGAGGAAGAUGGUAUUCUGGAAACAGUAGACGAACCAUUAUUUAAUGCUAUAAUUAGAACAGGUUAUUUUUGAUGGUACGUUAUUCAAGUAGAAUGGAAAUGGUAGCUCGCUCGCUCGCGCACACACACGCGCACACACACACACACACACAGUACAAAAGACUGCAGUAACUCUACAUAGGCUCCUUUGAAAACCCCAGCCUAAGAGGGUUAAGUGUCCAUUAUCCAAUCUCAGCCACAGGGAUUCUGACUACCCAAGAAUGAUGCUUAUGUACAAUAUACACACACAUACAAUAGAUGAGCAUUUGCACCAUGUGUAAAUUGUCAUAGGCUCAUUGACUUCAAAUUAAUGGGCCUAUGACAAUUCACACAACCUUAAGAUCUGCCCUAGUUUGUUUAUAUAUACGCACAUUACACACACACCAGGUUCACAGUGUUGAUGUCAACUAUGUGCUUUUCAAAUAGCUGGCCCCUUUCAAUGAAACAUGAGUUUAUUGGGAUGUUAUUUAAAUUUUCCUUCUCCAAUACAAGAGAGGAAGUAUUUCUCAGCUGUAUGAACAGCCACACUGCUCUACAAUGAAAAAUGGGGACAGAUGUGGGUCAGGGUAACUGCAAGUGCAAACGGGACUAUUUCACUCAGACAGAGAUGCGUUGCUGUAUUUUUCACCAGCCUGGUUCUCACGGGACUGCUCUUACAGGCCCACUUGGAACUUUUUAAUUGAGAAAGGUCAUGAACCCCUGUAAAACUCCCCAUUGUCUUGGGAAGAUUUGUUUCACACUAAUGAUGGAAAAACUGCAAACGCUCUUCUACUUUUUUUGUUUUCAAACAACACAGAAGAAAAAUGCCAUGAAAUUCUCUGACUUCAAGGAAUGGAAAGGACAAACAUCAGGAUUCCCAUGAACUACAAACUUAACAUGUUUUACACUAAGCAAGUCUUCAGGGAAAUCUGAGCAUGAGAGAAUUUAAGAGGAAGAGCGAGACAGUCCUAAAUCCAAAUAUCAUGUUGGGCAAUGAUAAUUGAUGGAAGUAUAUUUCAAGCCUAUUAAAAUCCUCCAGUCAUUUGAGCUCAAUAGAGAAUUAGUAUGUAAGAAGAGUUCAUGUACCAUAUGGAAGCUUGGCUUUAGCAACUAAAAAUACAUCACCACAAAUAUUCCAUGCCUUGUGUCUUACACCUGAUUUGAGCUACACAUUCAUAGACUGUAUGUAAUCCACAGGAGGGCAGGAAUUCUCUCAUUACCUAAUGGAAGUUAUCCUGAAAAGUAACUAACUAUCUAAACUACAUCCCAGACCAAAUCAUUCCUGAUGCAACUCAAAUGAAAUCAAUGGAGUUACGUCAGAGAUUAACCUAAACACAAAGUUUGUGAUCAUCUGCAAGCAGGCACUGGCUCCAGCGAAACUGAAGGCCCGAUCCCACUACAUAUUUUAACCCAUUUCCAAGGAAAGUAAUACACUUUUAAAAUAACUAAUACGGCUGUGUCCACAGUAUGCAUCUCUAAAUUGCUUUUCAAUGACAUUACAGAACUAUGUACAAACACUGCAAGAAAUUAGUAGCUAGCAUCUGCUGUAACUAUUUUAGUUACAAGAAGAGUUAUGCAUACUCAAUUGUUGGGUUUCCCAUGUAAUCUGACAAUUUAUUAUGCCAACUAUGUAAGUAAAGAACAGUUACUUUCCAGAGUAGGAAAUUAAAUGAAAUGUAUGAUAUAUAGUGAGUAUGGAAAAAAAAUUAUCUUGAAAACAGUUUUUUAGAAAUGGGUCAGAUAGCUAAACAGUCAGCUAUCUAAUGAGACCAGGAAAUGGGAACCUGAGAAACCAGUCUAAAAACACCUCUUUUAUGUACUAUAGUUACAU